rnacentral:lncRNA from 1 species
CAGCCCUAUUUACUAGGCACUACAAAAGCAGGUGUAAUCAAAGCUGUUCCAAGGAGAGGAGACACUCAUCUCAUCCCUCUUGGACUCCAGCCAGACUUCGGCUGCCUACAAACCACCUGCAAAGCCGCGUCUGCGCAAACCUGCCAGCCACAUCAAACCGUGACUUCCAUCGCCAGCGCGGGCAGGCAGCCAGAGGAGGAGCUACCAGGAAAAGGUCAGCAGGAGAUCCAACUUGGCUCCGCCGCAACAGCGUAAAAGGAUCCAAAAUAAGUAACAGCAGGCAUCUCCGCUAAAAUUUGCUUCUGAUCAACAUUAUUUUUCCUCUGGUACAAGAGAAGAAUUGAACACGUACUGCAAGUGAGGCACAGUAGUUUACUGCACAGAACAUGAGAAAGGAGGCUAAAGCUCUGGCAUUCAAAACUCUGCUCAGCCAGGGAGCCAGUAGAAGGUCUUCAACAAACCACAUGCACUCUGUGGAGCUAAUUCCCACCUAAAUGCUUUCUAUUUCAGAUAUAUAAGCUCAGACUGGAGGGGGCAGAGAGUGGAAUAGUCUUAAUUACACCCAUGCUCUACGCCUGCUUCCCCACACAUGAAGAUGUGAGGUCAGACCCUCACUGCAGGGAUGUCAGCAAUGCUGAGGGACUGUCAGCUCCCUGAAGUGCCAGCAUCUUACUAAAUCCAUCUGAUGACAUGAAAGCAGGAACUUUAUAUUAUGCUUUUGUGGUGGCAGUUUGUAUAUACCAGCACACAUUAAUAAAUGAAGAAUAAAGCACCACAACCACAAUCUGUACAUCUGUGUCUGUUUUAUGGUAUCCUGAAAAUAUUUCUGAAGUAGUUGGAAUACAGAAAACAGAAAUUAUCAUUCCGUCCCAGCUGGGCUCAUGUGAAAUGCUAUCUGACUCUGACUGGCAGAUUUGGUAUUUAGUUAAUUGUGAGAGACCCCACUUUGAAUAUUGUACCAACAUUUGUUAUGAUCCGUGAGUAUUUCCCUUCACAUCGCAUUUUCUCCAUACAUAAACUUACCAUAAUCCAAUAAAGAGCCUGUGUGAGCAGGUCUUCUACUUGCAGCCUUUCCACUAUGCAGGGGAAAGCCUGGCAUUUUUGCAUAUGAUGUUCAUGCAAUUUUUCAUUU